rnacentral:rRNA from 1 species
UACGUAGGGUGCGAGCGUUAUUCGGAAUUACUGGGCGUAAAGCGUGCGCAGGCGGCGCGUUAAGUCAGGUGUGAAAGCCCCGAGCUUAACUUGGGAAUUGCGCUUGUGACUGGCGUGCUGGAGUGUGGCAGAGGGAGGUGGAAUUCCACGUGUAGCAGUGAAAUGCGUAGAGAUGUGGAGGAACACCGAUGGCGAAGGCAGCCUCCUGGGCCAGCACUGACGCUCAGGCACGAAAGCGUGGGGAGCAAACAGG